UCCUACGGGAGGCAGCAGUGGGGAAUAUUGCACAAUGGGCGCAAGCUGAUGCAGCCAUGCCGYGUGUAUGAAGAAGGCCUUMGGGUUGUAAAGUACUUUCAGCGGGGAGGAAGGKGKUAAGGUUAWUAMCCUURUCAAUUGACGUUACCSGCAGAAGAAGCACCGGCUAACUCCGUGCCAGCAGCCGCGGUAAUACGGAGGGUGCAAGCGUUAAUYGGAAUUACUGGGYGUAAAGCGCACGCAGGCGGUCAAUYAAGUC
rnacentral:rRNA from 1 species